ensembl:snRNA U1 U1 spliceosomal RNA
AUACUGACCUGGCAGAGGAGACACCAUGAUCACGAAGGUGGUUUUCCCAGGGCGAGGCUCACCUAUUGCACUCCGGGUGUGCUGGCCCCUGUGAUUUCCCCAAAUGUGGGAAACUCGACUGCAUAAUUUGUGGUAGUGGGGACUGCGUGCACACUCUCCCCUA